rnacentral:lncRNA from 1 species
ACAACCUUAGGAGGUUUGGGUACAAAGCAAAAGAGGAAAGCUUAAGCCUAAGAAACGGCAUUCGGAGUAGAGGCAUCCGCUGCAAGCAUGUCAGUUGUAGUGGGAUUCUAAACUUCAUCCAAAAAGUUUAGAUUAAGCUCUGGAUAUUUGGCAAUGACUCUGUCCCAAACCAACUACCUUCCGGCAUCAUAGGUGUCGAUGGAAAGUUCAACCUUUUCAUCCUCAUACUUAGCCAACACCC